AUCAACGCUGGCGGCGUGCCUAACACAUGCAAGUCGAACGGGAAAACGGGGGCAACUCCGUGAGUAUAGUGGCGUACGGGUGAGUAACACGUGACUACCUACCUUUGAGUGGGGAUAACCCCGGGAAACCGGGGCUAAUACCGCAUAACAUCGCAAGAUCAAAGAAGCAAUUCGCUUAAAGAGGGGGUCGCGGCUGAUUAGCUAGUUGUAGGGUAAUGGUCCUACGCAAGGCGAUGAUCGGUAGCCGGCCUGAGAGGGCGCACGGCCACACUGGAACUGAACACGGUCCAGACUCCUACGGGAGGCAGCAGGGGGAAUUUUGCGCAAUGGGGGAAACCCUGACGCAGCAACCGCCGCGUGGAGGAUGAAGUCCCUUGGGACGUAACUCCUUUCGACCGGGACGAUUAUGACGGUACCGGUGGAAGAAGCCCCGGCUAACUUCGUGCCAGCAGCCGCGGUAAUACGAGGGGGGCAAGCGUUGUUCGGAAUUAUUGGCGUAAAGGGCGCGUAGGCGGUGCGGUAAGUCACCUGUGAAAACUCUGGGCUCAACUCAGAGCCUGCAGGCGAAACUGCCGUGCUUGAGUGUGGGAGAGGUGCGUGGAAUUCCCGUGUAGCGGUGAAAUGCGUAGAUAUCGGGAGGAACACCUGUGGCGAAAGCGCGCACGGACCACAACUGACGCUGAGGCGCGAAAGCUAGGGGAGCAAACAGGAUUAGAUACCCUGGUAGUCCUAGCCCUAAACUAUGGAUGCUUGGUGUGUCGGGUACCCAAUCCGACGUGCCGCAGCUAACGCGUUAAGCAUCCCGCCUGGGGAGUACGGUCGCAAGGCUGAAACUCAAAGGAAUUGACGGGGGCCCCGCACAAGCGGUGGAGCAUGUGGUUCAAUUCGACGCAACGCGAAGAACCUUACCUGGCUCGAAGCGCAGUGGACCGGGGUGGAAACAUCCCUUUCCGCAAGGACUGCUGCGGAGGUGCUUGCAUGGCUGUCGUCAGCUCGUGUCGUGAGGAUGUUGGGUUAAGUCCCGCAACGAGCGCAACCCUUAUCGUUAGUUGCCAUCAGGUCAAGCUGGGCACUCUAGCGAACCGCCUCGGAUAACGGGGAGGAAGGUGGGGAUGACGUCAAGUCCUCAUGCCUUUAUGUCCAGGGCUACACACGUGCUACAAUGGGUCGGUACAAACCGUCGCAAACCCGCGAGGGGGAGCUAAUCGGAAAAAGCCGGCCUCAGUUCGGAUUUGGAGUCUGCAACUCGACUCCAUUGAAGCUGGAAUCGCUAGUAAUCGCAGAUCAGAACGCUGCGGUGAAUACGUUCCCGGGCCUUGUACACCCCCGCCCGUCACAUCACGAAAGUGGUGAUACUAGACGCCGUCCCGCCAACCCGCAAGGGGGGCAGACGUCAAGGUAUGACUCAUGAUUGGGGUG
rnacentral:rRNA from 1 species